GUGGACUGUAGCCCACCAAGCUCCUCCGUCCAUGGGAUUCUCCAGGCAAGAACAAUGGAUAACAAUGGUAACCUGAGUGCAAGAAACACAAGCCUCAGAAAGCCAUAUAUUUUUGAACAGCUAUUCUAGGUUGCUGCUGCUAAGUCACUUCAGUCGUGUCCGACUCUGUGCGACCCCAUAGACAGCAGCCCACCAGGCUCCCCUGUCCCUGGGAUUCUCUAGGCAAGAACACUGGAGUGGGUUGCCAUUUCCUUCUCCAAUGCAUGAAAGUGAAAAGUGAAAGUGAAGUCGCUCAGUCGUGUUUGACUCUUGGUGACCCCAUGGACUGCAGCCCACCAGGCUCCUCCAUCCAUGGGAUUUUCCAGGCAAGAGUACUAGAGUGGGGUGCCAUUGCCUUCUCCGAUUCUAGUGGUCAUGUAUGGAUGUGAGAGUUGGAUUGUGAAGAAGGCUGAGCACCGAAGAAUUGAUGCUUUUGAACUGUGGUGUUGGAGAAGACUCUUGAGGGUCCCUUGGACAAUCCAUUCUGAUGGAGAUCAGCCCUGGGAUUUCUUUGGAAGGACUGAUGCUAAAGCUGAAACUGCAGUACUUUGGCCACCUCAUGCGAAGAGUUGACUCAUUGGAAAAGACUCUGAUGCUGGGAGGGAUUGGGGGCAGGAGGAGAAGGGGACGACCGAGGAUGAGAUGGCUGGAUGGCAUCACUGACUCAAUGGACGUGAAUCUGAGUGAACUCUGGGAGUUGGUGAUGGACCGGGAGGCCUGGCGUGCUUCGAUUCCUGGGGCCACAGAGUCAGACACGACUGAGCAACUCAACUGAACUGAACUGAAUCCCUCAUUAAUAAUGAGUUAGCAAAGUCUUUAAUAAAUGCUUUAUAUUUGUGUGAAAGUCAUGAUUUUGCCUUCAUCUGAAAAAUUUCCAUUGAUGCCGAGUACAAAAGUAAUCAGUGCAAUUCGUAUUAUUUAACAAAUGCAUAGUAUCAUCACCUCCCGCUCCUCUUGGGAACGUUUUGUAGCGGAUUUAAAGGAAGCUUGGACUAAACUCCUAUUCAGUGUCCUUGGUGAUUUUAUGUUCUCUCGUGGUCACUUUGGUGGCUAAUGGACACUGAGCUCCCAGUUACAAAGUAUUUUUUAAUGACAGCUUUGGCUAUUGGAAAGUACCUUCUUAUAUCAAGUCAAAAUCUUCAUACAACUUCUAACUGUUGGGUCAAGUUAUAUUUCUUUAUCAUACAGAAUGAAUAUAAUCCCACUGUCCUAAAAUUGUCCUUCAAAUAUAGAAAAUAGUUAUAUUCACUGUUACCGUUUUUUUCCCUUCGCAGGAAGAAUUUCCUGAGGUCUUUAGCCUUCCUGAGAUGUAUUCUGAGAUGGAUUAAAAAUCCCUAAUUAUCUUAGACACUCUUAUGAUACUGCUUCCCAAUAGGCCCUAUCAUUCUAUGAAUACACAUUAAAGUUUCAUUAGCAAUUUUGGCAAUAACAUUGCUCUGUUUUUUCAUAUAGAGAUAAAAUCAUAAUAUAUGCUUCUUCCCAUCUGUA
ensembl:lncRNA